UACGUAGGUGGCGAGCGUUGUCCGGAAUUACUGGGUGUAAAGGGCGUGUAGGCAGGAGAGCAAGUCAGAUGUGAAAUACCGAAGCUUAACUUCGGGGCUGCAUCUGAAACUGUUUUUCUUGAGUGUCGGAGAGGAAAGUGGAAUUCCCAGUGUAGCGGUGAAAUGCGUAGAUAUUGGGAGGAACACCAGUGGCGAAGGCGACUUUCUGGACGAUAACUGACGCUGAGGCGCGAAAGCGUGGGGAGCAAACAGG
rnacentral:rRNA from 1 species